UACGUAGGGUGCAAGCGUUAAUCGGAAUUACUGGGUGUAAAGCGUGCGCAGGCGGUUUUGUAAGUCUGUCGUGAAAGCCCCGGGCUCAACCUGGGAAUUGCGAUGGAGACUGCAAGGCUUGAAUCUGGCAGAGGGGGGUAGAAUUCCACGUGUAGCAGUGAAAUGCGUAGAGAUGUGGAGGAACACCGAUGGCGAAGGCAGCCCCCUGGGUCAAGAUUGACGCUCAUGCACGAAAGCGUGGGGAGCAAACAGG
rnacentral:rRNA from 1 species